rnacentral:rRNA from 1 species
AAUAUUGGACAAUGGGCGAAAGCCUGAUCCAGCCAUGCCGCGUGUGUGAAGAAGGUCUUCGGAUCGUAAAGCUCUGUCCUUGGGGAAGAAGGGCUUCGGCCUUGACGGUACCCAAGAAGAAAGCCCCGGCUAACUACGUGCCAGCAGCCGCGGUAAUACGUCGGGGGCGAGCGUUGUCCGGAAUUACUGGGCGUAAAGGGUGCGUAGGCGGCCCUUUAAGUCAGAUGUGAAAGGCCACGGGUUAACCGUGGAACUGCAUUUGAAGCUGGAGGGCUUGAGUGUCGGAGAGGGUAGUGGAAUUCCCAGUGUAGCGGUGAAAUGCGUAGAUAUUGGGAGGAACACCAGUGGCGAAGGCGACUACCUGGACGAUAACUGACGCUGAGGCACGAAAGCUAGGGGAGCAAAC